UCUCUCUCUCCCUUCCUACGGAUCUCUCCUUCUUCUCUCUUCCUGUCAAUCUCUCUCCCUCCUCUCUCUCUUCCUUGCUCUCCCUCUCCCUCUCCCUCUCCCUCUCCCUAUCUUUCUCUCGCUCAAAAUCAUAGCCCCUCCUCUCUCUCUCUCUCUCUCUCUCUCUCUCUCUCUCUCUCUCUCUCUCUCCUCGGCCCUCUGCUGCAGUUUGGCCUUCUGCUGCUCAUAAAUCCCGGAUUCUCAGGGGAUACUAUAGUAUUGGCGGCAGUGUAUCGGCCUAAAGCUGGAACAAGAAAAAAUGAAAACCCUGAGAAGGCUUCAAUUGAGGUUAUUUGGAAGCCAAAAAUGGGGCAGAUUGGU